GUAUGUCAAGUGGACAAAUGAAGCUAAAUAUGACAGUUGCCUAGACCAGUCCUUUCAUUCUUUACCAGUAUGUGUUUAUCCCUCUCAAAGAUGCACACUUAGUUGAAGAGUUCAAACCUACAUGAUACUAGAAGAUUGUUCUCCAGUCAAUAGUAUUCAAGUAGUUAUGCUCCUUGUUGCAGUCUCCUAACAAACUUGAAGUCCAUUUGCAAAAGAAUAUAGGAUAGUUAAGCUCCUAAAUAUCCAGGCACAUCCAAAUGAAGCAUUGCACAUGACAAUCUGCAUUUCUGG
rnacentral:snRNA from 1 species